rnacentral:rRNA from 1 species
AGUGAACGCGGGCGGUAGGCCUAACACACGCAAGUCGAACGGCAGCACAGUAAGAGCUUGCUCUUACGGGUGGCGAGUGGCGGACGGGUGAGGAAUACAUCGGAAUCUACUUUUUCGUGGGGGAUAACGUAGGGAAACUUACGCUAAUACCGCAUACGACCUACGGGUGAAAGCAGGGGAUCUUCGGACCUUGCGCGAUUGAAUGAGCCGAUGUCGGAUUAGCUAGUUGGCGGGGUAAAGGCCCACCAAGGCGACGAUCCGUAGCUGGUCUGAGAGGAUGAUCAGCCACACUGGAACUGAGACACGGUCCAGACUCCUACGGGAGGCAGCAGUGGGGAAUAUUGGACAAUGGGCGCAAGCCUGAUCCAGCCAUACCGCGUGGGUGAAGAAGGCCUUCGGGUUGUAAAGCCCUUUUGUUGGGAAAGAAAAGCAGCAGGUUAAUACCCCGCUGUUCUGACGGUACCCAAAGAAUAAGCACCGGCUAACUUCGUG